rnacentral:lncRNA from 1 species
AGAUCCCCAUGUCACGGCUUGAAGGAGAGCCACCAGGAAAGCUGCCAGAAGAGAAAUAUCUUUAUUGGUCUCAGCAUGCAGGAGAAAUUAACUUUUAUUGGAUUAAUCCUUCGAGAUUUGAGGUGGCUGUUGAUGGACGGCUGUCCCCUGCACACCGACAGAAACAUCUUCGUGCUAGGUUUGCCCAGCUGAACACAUGCCACAGCUGAUCCGUCUGUUGAGCAGGCCGCACACCACUGCUGAUCAAUCUUCACAUGCCAAUUAUGUGAUGUGGAGUGGGCUGGGAGGAGCAUGCACAGGUGAGGGGGGCUUGGUGGAGGGAGAAAAUCACUCUUGGGAUUCUGCUCUGUGCCCCUGCUCUCGCCUUUGUCCCUGCUAGGAGACAGUGAGGGGACAGUGAGGGGUCCUCUCCUCCCAGCACCACACCAUCUUAUACGUAGUGCCCCACUAGACGAUGUUUGGUGCCGCCUCCAUCCACCUCUGAGGAGGGCCAAUAGAAUCCAAACAUG